GACGAACGCUGGCGGCGUGCUUAACACAUGCAAGUCGAACGGAAAGGCCCUGCUUUUUUGUGGUUCCCGAGUGGCGAACGGGUGAGUAACACGGGAGUCACCUUCCCAGGACUUUGGGAUGACUUCAGGAAACUGGUGCUAAUACCGGCUAGGAGCUCCUGCUGCAUGGUGGGGGUUGGAAAGUUUCGGCGGUUGGGGAUGGACUCGCGGCUUAUCAGCUUGUUGGGGGGGGAGUGGCUUACCAAGGCUUUGAAGGGUAGCCGGCCUGAGAGGGUGAACGGCCACAUUGGGACUGAGAUACGGCCCAGUCUCCUACGGGAGGCAGCAGUGGGGAAUAUUGCACAAUGGGCGGAAGCCUGAUGCAGCAACGCCGCGUGCGGGAUGACGGCCUUCGGGUUGUAAACCGCUUUAGCCUGUGACGAAGCGUGAGUGACGGUAAUGGGUAAAGAAGCACCGGCUAACUACGUG
rnacentral:rRNA from 1 species